GACGUAGGAUGCGAGCGUUAUUCGGAUUUAUUGGGCGUAAAGCGUGCGUAGGCGGCUGUUUAAGUCUGGUGUUAAAGCUAGGGGCUCAACCCCUGUGGUGCAUCGGAUACUGGGCAGCUUGAGUGCGGUAGGGGAAGGUGGAAUUCCGAGUGUAGCGGUGAAAUGCGUAGAUAUUCGGAAGAACACCGGUGGCGAAGGCGACCUUCUGGGCCGCAACUGACGCUGAGGUGCGAAAGCGUGGGGAGCAAACAGG
rnacentral:rRNA from 1 species